rnacentral:misc_RNA from 1 species
AGCAGCCGCGGUAAUUCCAGCUCCAAUAGCGUAUAUUAAAGUUGUUGCAGUUAAAAAGCUCGUAGUUGAAUUUCGGGGUUAGUAGGUUGGUCAUGCCUCUGGUAUGUACUGGUCUCACUGAUUCCUCCUUCCUGAUGAACCUUAAUGCCAUUAAUUUGGUGUUUUGGGGAAUUUGGACUGUUACUUUGAAAAAAUUAGAGUGUUUAAAGCAGGCAUUUUUGCUUGAAUACAUUAGCAUGGAAUAAUAAAAUAGGACGGCAUGGUUCUAUUUUGUUGGUUUCUAGGACCACCGUAAUGAUUAAUAGGGAUAGUUGGGGGGCAUUAGUAUUCAAUUGUCAGAGGUGAAAUUCUUGGAUUUAUUGAAGACUAACUACUGCGAAAGCAUUUGCCAAGGAUGUUUUCAUUAAUCAAGAACGAAAGUUAGGGGAUCGAAGACGAUCAGAUACCGUCGUAGUCUUAACCAUAAACUAUGCCGACUAGGAAUCAGACGAUGUUAAUUUUUUUAAUGACUC